CCUACGGGAGGCAGCAGUGGGGGAUAUUGCACAAUGGGGGGAACCCUGAUGCAGCGACGCCGCGUGGGUGAAGAAGCGCCUCGGCGCGUAAAGCCCUGUCAGCAGGGAAGAAAAUGACGGUACCUGAAGACGAAGCCCCGGCUAACUCCGUGCCAGCAGCCGCGGUAAUACGUGGGGGGCAAGCGUUAUCCGGAUUUACUGGGUGUAAAGGGGGCGCAGGCGGCGAUGCAAGCCAGGAGUGAAAGCCCGGGGCCAAACCGCGGGACUGCUCUUGGAACGGCGUGUUUGGAGUGGAGGAGGGGCAGGCGGAAUUCCGGGGGUAGCGGUGAAUGCGUAGAGAUCAGGAGGAACACCGGUGGCGAAGGCGGCCUGCUGGACUGCAACUGACGCUGAGGCCCGAAAGCGUGGGGAGCAAACAGGAGUAGAUACCCUUGUAGUC
rnacentral:rRNA from 1 species